rnacentral:rRNA from 1 species
GACGAACGCUGGCGGCGUGCUUAACACAUGCAAGUCGAACGGUGAAGCGCCUUCCUUUUUGGUGGGUGUGGAUGAGUGGCGAACGGGUGAGUAACACGUGAGUAACCUGCCCCCUUCUUCUGGAUAACCGCAUGAAAGUGUGGCUAAUACGGGAUAUUCUGGGUCUGUCGCAUGAUGGGUCUGGGAAAGAUAUUGUUUCGGUGGGGGAUGGGCUCGCGGCCUAUCAGCUUGUUGGUGGGGUGAUGGCCUACCAAGGCGGUGACGGGUGGCCGGCCUGAGAGGGUGGACGGUCACACUGGGACUGAGACACGGCCCAGACUCCUACGGGAGGCAGCAGUGGGGAAUAGUGCACAAUGGGCGCAAGCCUGAUGCAGCGACGCCGCGUGAGGGAUGGAGGCCUUCGGGUUGUGAACCUCUUUCGCCAGUGAAGCAGGCCUGCCUCGUUUGUGGGUGGGUUGACGGUAGCUGGAUAAGAAGCGCCGGCUAACUACGCG